rnacentral:lncRNA from 1 species
UUUUUUCUUAUUAGUUUGGUUAUUUGUGAAAGUUGUAGGGCAGUUCUGAGCGAAGUGACAUAUCUUAUCACAUUGGUAACACUCAACCUUUGAUGCGUCUCUCUCUUGCCGAUGAUAUCCGUUUUGUUGAUAUCGAAAUCUACAACGACCUCUUCCUCGAUAUCCAUACCGACCGCCUCUUCCCGAAUCAUACCUCUCC